AACCACUGCACACAAUUCAUAAGGACAGGAAAACACAUGCACAUUUUUUAUUUGAGAAUUAGGUAAUUAUGCAGUUAGAAACUAUAUGCACUGUACACAAGGUGGGUGGCAGGACUUGGGGAUGCAUGCACAGAAAUUUUUCAGAUUCUGAUUUUUAAUGCUAUAUGACUUAAAUCAACAUGUGAUUUACAAUUGGCUGGACAGAAAUAACAACAAAUUUACGUUUCAAGCUCAGUUAGUCCUGGACUCUCAGCAUCUUCUGGAGCAUUCUGCAGAAAACCCCCUUUCCUAUUGGACAGAAAUAUGUCAAUAUUUCAUCUCAGUAUUUCUUUCUGGAAGAAAGAUAUUUUUACAGUGCCAUUUUGGCGAUACCAAUAUGAUGCCAUCAAAGCCCUAAAUAAAAGACAUUUCUAUUGAUGUUGAUUAUUUGGGUAAUGCAGUCAUCCCAGGAAAGCCAACACACACAGGGCAUCCACAAAUAUCCAUUCUACAACAGGAAAAGCAAAAAAUAACACCCCAAAUAGGUGUUUGCAUUGGAAGAGCAUAGACAGAGAUUUUAGCCAGGUAUUACUGUAUCAUAUUCUAACAAAAUUUUCCAUCUCAGACAGCAUGGUAGCUCAAUAUAUUUGUCCUGAAGACACAUAAAAAAAAAAUUAGUAAGCUUUCUUGAAAUGUCUUUAUUGCUUUUAAUUGUUCCUUGGUAACAGCAAAUUCAACAAUUGUUUUUUGGUUCUCUUCCCUUUCUUUUUUUUAUUAACAUAAAAUGUUCCUUAAAAUUCCUUUUAAACACCCAAUUUAUCAUACGCCUACUGCAAAACCUGCUUUUUAUUGACUAUACUAUGAAUUACACACCUAUUUAACAUUUCAGAAGGCAGGAGACCUCUCUCUCAAACAGGAAUGUUCAACACCAGUAUAGCUAAAGGACGUCUACACCAGCACAAAUCAAAGGCAAGCACACUGAAAUCUAGGCUAGUAGACUUUUCACAUCCAGGAAAACCUCCCUGACAUUAUUGUUUUACAAAACAGGAUUUCCUGAUAUGCCUGGAGUCAGCAUGCUGUGACAUGGGCUGGCACUGCAGAAUAGCAAUAGCAUACAUUAGAUCUGUGUUGGGAGCUGGUUACCAGAAACACUGCAUAGAAAUUAUGGUGAAGAUUCUCUGUGAAAUAGAUUCUGGUUUUUCAAAUGAGAUUCUGAAAAAAACACCUCCUAACAUUUCAGCAGAAACACUUUACAACUUGUCCAAAUUGUAGAUGUCUCAUCUUUUCCCAUAAAAGCUUACAGAGCUUUUAAUUUACUGAGUUACUGUUUGUUCUAAUGACUGUUUGAGGGAAUGGCUUGGCAUGAGUAAGAGAUGAGUUUGUGUAUUAAGUCAGAGCAGAAGUUCAUGCAAUUUACACAAAGUAAUGAAAAGCGUAACUUGAACUCCCAACAAUUCCACUUUCCCACCUCAAGUUCAUAACACUGAUAUCAUCAAAUCUCUAAGAAGCUGCCGCAGAGAGUGGGGGGGGGGAAAAAAAAGAAGAGUCAAAACCAAGUUCCCAGCUCACACCAAGGCUUCAUUAAUUAGAACCACGUGCCCCAGAGAUGGAAGAGUAGUGCACAAUGGCAAAGGGGCUGCUGCACCCCCGCUAUGAGAGCUCUCCUCUUGAGCAACACUGCAGAGCCUCCUUUCAAACAUGGCCUUGGACAGGGCAGGAGAUCAUGACGAGGCCAGGCAGGGCAGACAGCAAACAGCAGGAAGCCAACUGGAGCUGGCCACCGGAUCCAAGAAGAAAAAUCAAAACAGCACAGAACAACAACAACAAAAAUUUUAUAAAAGCAGCCCUCAUCCUUGCUCCAGACUUUGAAUGAGCAAGGACUGCAUGAUGUGCUCAUCAAGUAAUUUUUUUCUCAGCUGUGAAGAUUUAGCUAGUCAUGUUAUGCUCACCCUGUCAUCGCUUCAGUUGCCUAAAAAAAUCCCAGACAUUUCUAAUACUGCUUUUCCAAUAAAGAAAUGUACAUUAGCUCAGAAAGUAGAAUCUUAACGAGGCCUUACUGAAUUAAAAAAGCAUGAGGCAAUAGAAGUCUGUAUCAGGAGAAGAAAAAUAAAUAGCCCCUAUUUAAACCCUCCUUUCACCUCAAAACAGAAGGCUCAGAAACUGAAAACUGAUAAAAAGUGAAGACAAUACAAAAUCAGUCUCUCUCCUGAAGGCAGCAGAUUUUUCAGCUGGCAAAAUAAAUCGUCCAUUAAAAAAAAAAAAGUAUCUAAAUACAUUCCACAUAAGCACUCAUUUGCAAUACUGGAAACUCUCCAAGACUUCUCAGCACAUGAAGCCUGUGUCUCCAGCUCACACACAAAUGUAAUAAGAUAACACCAAGUUUUUAACUAUUCAUUUCUGGAGCUUGUUAGGUCACCGCUCUAUUAAACAUGAAGUAACCCAGACACCAUCUCUCAGGGUAGCCUUUUUCCAAAUUACAGGAAUUUUUUUCAAAUUACAGCAAACCCCACAGUAUUUAUAUUUCCAAACAAAUUACCAGCAUCUCAUAUAUAAAAUUGUUUCCAUGUAUAGAUACUUUCAGUAACUGCUUAAGAAAGAUCCUAAACAUUUGAGACAAAGGGGAAAAACACGGGUCUAAUUUUAAAUAAUUAACACAGAAUCAUUUAGGCUGCAAAAGACUUCUAAAUCGUUGAGUCCAACCUUUGACCAAUGACCACCUUGUAGACCAAAGCAUCAAGUGCCACAUCCAGUAGUUUCUUGAGCACCUUCAGGGAUGCUGAUUCCACCACCUCUCCGAGCAGCCCACUGCAAGGUUUAACAACCCUUUCUGCUGCUCACCCACAGAAGAGGUAAAGAAAUCUAAACAUGAAUGUACACUUUUUCAAAUCUCAGAUUUAUUUCCUUCCUUACAGAAGAGCUGUUCUGGUCUGCAAAUUAAUGAACAAAAUAAGCCUUCUUUUGAUUUUCACCUUGUAUGUGCUUAAAAAAAGAUGGAUUUCUGAUGACAAUCCCUACAGAUUGAAACUCAAAUUAGUUUUUCUCUUCUCAUAUACUACCAUUUUACAACUAACUCUGAAAACCUUGAGGUUUUACUACUCCUGCUCUUUCUGCUAUAGUACAGAAACUAUACUGCAUACAUAUAAACCUGUAUUUAUGUACAGACAUAGAAUCACAGAAAUGAAAGCACUGGGCAAAUGUAAAAGCUGCCAUUUGAGUUUAUACUCUCCAGCGGGAAUUCCAGUCAGGCAAUGUUCUGCACAUAAAGGUGAUUUUUUCAUGGCCUUCAGGUCAGGCUCAGAAAGAGUAUCUUCAGCAUGGCAGGAGAAAAGGGAAAAGUGCCAACCCCCUUGCAAGAUUAAAUCUAGAGCUCCUUAAAAAAACACCUAUUUUAAUUAAUUUUUUUAUGCUAACAAGAAAAAAAAAA